ACUGCACCUCAACCAUCAGGUUGCUUCACAUCAGAAAACAAGAAUUAAACAACGUAUCAUACAACAAAAAGAACGAAACAUAGAAAACAGUGAAAUCAGAAAAGCUUACAUAGAAACAGGAGGAGUGGAGCAAAAAUGUCACACCCCUACUU